CACUGGUCCUUUGUGUACUGCCCGCCCUGCAUGUGUCUGGGCUCCCCUGGCCAGUCCGUUUUUUUGUCUCUGAUGGUUAAUAAGCUUUGAGCCUAGUAGUCAAAUGUGGUGGGAACGGGGACAAGACGAGGGUCCUUAGUGAAGGUGUUUGUUGUUAAAUAGAACAAUUCAGCUGUCUCUUUAGAAAACUUGACAAAAGGAAAUGCUCCCUGCUGAAAAUUUUCUUAGCCUGUUGCACAAAAGAUGAAGUUUGUUUAAGAAAUUGCUGCUAAAGAAAGCGUCAACCCAUUAAGCAGGAUCUGGCCUACCUUAGAAUGAAGAAAUCUGCUGCAGAAUUCCUCUCUCCCUUUUAAAAUAUCUUGGAGACUCCCAGGAUCAUCACAAAGGCUUCUGAAAUCCACUGUGGCAAACAUGUGUUCUCAGAAAUCUCCAAAACCCAGUGAAGCUCUGCAAUCAUCACGCUUCCUUUUCCUUAUACAACAGAAGAGAUGUGAACAGCCAUCGGUUACUGCAUCCUGCCAACCACAAAGGUAAGCCACAGGGACAGUCACCUCCAUCUUCUACCCCCUUGCCACUGAUUCUU